rnacentral:rRNA from 1 species
CCUACGGGAGGCAGCAGUGGGGAAUUUUGGACAAUGGGCGCAAGCCUGAUCCAGCAAUGCCGCGUGAGUGAAGAAGGCCUUCGGGUUGUAAAGCUCUUUUGUCAGGGAAGAAACGGUGGAGGUUAAUACCUUCUGCUAAUGACGGUACCUGAAGAAUAAGCACCGGCUAACUACGUGCCAGCAGCCGCGGUAAUACGUAGGGUGCAAGCGUUAAUCGGAAUUACUGGGCGUAAAGCGUGCGCAGGCGGUUGUGCAAGACAGAUGUGAAAUCCCCGGGCUCAACCUGGGAAUUGCAUUUGUGACUGUACGGCUAGAGUGUGUCAGAGGGGGGUAGAAUUCCACGUGUAGCAGUGAAAUGCGUAGAGAUGUGGAGGAAUACCGAUGGCGAAGGCAGCCCCCUGGGAUAACACUGACGCUCAUGCACGAAAGCGUGGGGAGCAAACAGGAUUAGAUACCCUGGUAGUCCACGCCCUAAACGAUGUCUACUAGUUGUCGGGUCUUUAUUGACUUGGUAACGCAGCUAACGCGUGAAGUAGACCGCCUGGGGAGUACGGUCGCAAGAUUAAAACGUCAAAGGAAUUGACGG